AGUGAUUAAAUUGUAGUGACGAUGCUGGAGGGAAAGUCAGUCGCAGGCACGGCGAAGAUUAUAACAAGUGGAUUUGACAAGUAACUCCGUCCAAGAUAAUGACUCAGUGAGACAGUUUCACUUGAGUGAUAAUGGACAUCCAGCGGGUCUAGGAGCAGCAGCGGAACCACGCAGCACGGUUCGCGUUCAUCUCUUCGGAUCGGAAUCACUGCGAUGACCGAGUCCUCCAAACCGCCCUCAGGGAGGAGAAUGAAGGCACGUGCCCCGGCUCCGCCGCAGGCCCCUCUGCCCGCCCCACGCCACAUAUUUAGAAACGUUGGUCCUGAUGGGGGAGGGACAUCGGCCAUGGACACCAAGGAGAACAUGCUGAGGCCCACUGUGGAUUUACAGCUGACCCUGCCGCGGGGAAACCAGACUUCAGUAACUGAGGAC